UGAAUUCUAUGCUCAUGUGUGUUUUGAAUGCUCAAGUUUUGAGGAAGUGCUUGGAACUUGUGAUUUUAAGACUGUGAAUGCAUUUGCUAGGGCUAUGGGACAGUAUCCUAUUCUGU